rnacentral:rRNA from 1 species
GACGAACGCUGGCGGCGUGCUUAACACAUGCAAGUCGAACGGUGAAGCGCCUUCCUUUUUGGUGGGUGUGGAUGAGUGGCGAACGGGUGAGUAACACGUGAGUAACCUGCCCCCUUCUUCUGGAUAACCGCAUGAAAGUGUGGCUAAUACGGGAUAUUCUGGGUCUGUCGCAUGAUGGGUCUGGGAAAGAUAUUGUUUCGGUGGGGGAUGGGCUCGCGGCCUAUCAGCUUGUUGGUGGGGUGAUGGCCUACCAAGGCGGUCACGGGUAGCCGGCCUGGGAGGGUGGACGGUCACACUGGGACUGAGACACGGCCCAGACUCCUGCGGGAGGCAGCAGUGGGGAAUAUUGCACAGUGGGCGCAAGCCUGAUGCAGCGACGCCGCGUGAGGGAUGGAGGCCUUCGGGUUGUGAACCUCUUUCGCCAGUGAAGCAGGCCUGCCUCGUUUGUGGGUGGGUUGACGGUAGCUGGAUAAGAAGCGCCGGCUAACUACGUG